GCGCAGCAGGCGCGAAACCUCCGCAAUACACGAAAGUGUGACGGGGCCAUCCCGAGUGCCGUCCGCUGAGGACGGCUUUUCCCCAGUGUACAUAGCUGGGGGAAUAAGGAGAGGGCAAGCCUGGUGUCAGCCGCCGCGGUAAUACCAGCUCUCCGAGUGGUGGGGACGCUUAUUGGGCCUAAAGCAUCCGUAGCCGGCUGGGCAAGUCCUCCGUUAAAUCCAACGAUUCAAUCGUUGGGCUGCGGGGGAUACUGUCCAGCUUGGGGGCGGGAGAGGCCGACGGUAUUCCCGGGUAGGGUGAAAUCCUAUAAUCCCGGGAGGACCACCAGUGGCGAAGGCUGUCGGCUAGAACGCGCCCGACGGUGAGGGAUGAAAAGCUGGGGGAGCGAACCGGAUUAGAUACCCGCGUAG
rnacentral:rRNA from 1 species